AAAGUCGUAACAAGGUUUCCGUAGGUGAACCUGCGGAAGGAUCAUUACAAAUCCUGUGAUUCAUUCAUACUAUGUUGCACACUAUCCGAAGGAUAGGGGGCAAGAUAGUGUGUAUCGUACGGGGGAAUACGGAGGAUGGUGUGCAGUGCAUGGUGUGACACGCUCACAUUGUGCACUUUACUCACUCCUCGCUUCACCCUCACCUUACACCUAACCCUACCCUCGAUCCAUCCAAAUCCACUUUCAUCACCACAAACUUAUCCUUUUAAUCAAAGAAAUAACUUGUAACAAUGGAUCUCUAGGCUCUU
rnacentral:misc_RNA from 1 species